CCGAACUGUGCUUUGGAAAGAUGAACCAGCCGGUGUGCAUUCAUGCAUUCACUCAUUCGUUCAUUCAUUCAUUCAUCUGACCAAAAUGUGCUUUAAACAUCUUUUGCAUGCCGGGCCCUGGGAAUGCAGCAGUGACCAGAGGUGCUGUUGGACUUCAUGGAGCUCAUGGCCUCGAGUGACAUGUGUGGGAGUGGACAUUUGGACACAGAGGAGGCAUCACCCCAGUCCUAGGCAAGGGUCUGCUCCCAUCUGUCAUGGGAAGGAGGUCAGAUGAGACCACAGCUAACUUUCCUUCUGGCUCCAACACUCUGUGUUCCAGGAUUCUCCAGAAUGGAACAGUCUGACCUUGGGGAUUCUAGCAGGAUCAAGUCAGGUCCCCUUCAUCAUCCCCUCUCUCCCUCUCAUGCCCCGGGAGGCUUCCACUCCUGCAGCAUCAGGCACUGGGAGGCAGAGUCCAGCUCCACAGUCAUUUUUAACAUAUUAAAGUUCUGGACAGAAA